rnacentral:ncRNA from 1 species
CGCUAGGGGAGCCUGAUGGCUGAGAAUGGCGUUUGCCUGACCCUCAUCACUUGAACCGGGUAAUACCGGCGUAAGGAAGCGAAAUAA